AGCCUUUAAAGCUAUCGGAAAGUAAUUAA
rnacentral:tRNA from 1 species